rnacentral:rRNA from 1 species
CCUACGGGUGUCUGCAGUGGGGAAUAUUGGACAAUGGGCGAAAGCCUGAUCCAGCCAUGCCGCGUGUGUGAAGAAGGCCUUCGGGUUGUAAAGCACUUUCAGUGGGGAAGAAAGCCUUGGGGCUAAUACCCUCGAGGAAGGACAUCACCCACAGAAGAAGCACCGGCUAACUCCGUGCCAGCAGCCGCGGUAAUACGGAGGGUGCGAGCGUUAAUCGGAAUUACUGGGCGUAAAGCGCGCGUAGGCGGUCUGAUAAGCCGGUUGUGAAAGCCCCGGGCUCAACCUGGGAACGGCAUCCGGAACUGUCAGGCUAGAGUGCAGGAGAGGACGGUAGAAUUCCCGGUGUAGCGGUGAAAUGCGUAGAGAUCGGGAGGAAUACCAGUGGCGAAGGCGGCCUUCUGGACUGACACUGACGCUGAGGUGCGAAAGCGUGGGUAGCAAACAGGAUUAGAUACCCCUGUAGUC